GUAGGUGAACCUGCGGAAGGAUCAUUAUCAAUUUAACAGUUCGUGGGAUAGACGCUCGUAAGGCUACCCUUCCCACGCUGUUUCAACCCUUUGUCUUUUGCGUACUGUAUGUUUCCUCGGCGGGUUCGCUCGCCGAUAGGACACUUCAAAACCUUUUGUAAUUGCAAUCAGCGUCAGAAAAACUAUAAUAGUUACAACUUUCAACAACGGAUCUCUUGGUUCUG
rnacentral:misc_RNA from 1 species